UGGACGGAGAACUGAUAAGG
rnacentral:ncRNA from 13 species